AAACUGCUAAGUCACAUUUCAUAACUUAGAAUAAAAAUAAUACUACACAUUGCCAUCUCAUACUGGCAUACCAAACAAGUGUAUAUACAUUAUCUACAACAUGUAUCUUAACAAUUUACAUUAGGUUCGUCUAUACACAACAAAAUAAUACUCGACUUUCAGCGGAGGGACUCGGACGAAUGUACAGCUACUGAAUGCUUAGACACCUACCAAAAGAUGGAUACAAGUCUACAAGGACACCUCGUCCUAGUUACCGACUGCCUCGUGAUCUGAAAAUAUGAAGUUGAAAACGGUGAGUAUAAACCCAGUGAGUGAACAAGGAAGGGAACAAGCAACAACAAGGGAAAAUUUAAAAUCAUGAUGCACUUGUUUCAAAACAAUGCAAUUUAGUUCCAUUAAUAUUAAAAACCCCUAAUUAAGCCCUUUUAUGAUUAAUCAUUUGAAAAUCAUGAACCCGUACAUAACGAACCAUUUGAAGAAUGAAAGCUUCAAUGAUACGCGAGGAAGUCAAAUACGUCAAUGAAUCUUCGCUGCAGCGACGUUGGGAUUAAGUUAUUAGUCGAACGAGGGUUUCUCAACUGACAGAGGGUUUCUCAGUAAACCUCUUCAUUUUAAAGUUAACUCAUUUAGUCUUUAAUGUUGGAAGUCCAUGCUCAGAUAUGGUAGCAAAGAAAUGAAAAAUAGGGCAACAAUUGGAUAAGAUAAGAGACAAAAAUAGAAAGUUUUUCGCUGCAGCGAAAUUGUAACCCAGAAACAGAAAGUUUCUAGUUGCAACGAGAUUCAAUCUCGCUACAGUGAAAUUGCAACCCAGAAACAGAAAGUUUCUCACUGCAGCAAGAAUGAAUUUCGCUGCAGCGAGAAGCUACAGUAUCAUUCUUGCUCCAGCGAAAAUGCAUUCUCACUGCAGCGAGUUUUUGGCCAGUCUACCCCUCAAAACUUGAGAGUUUCUUGCUGCAGCGAAAAUGAUUCUCGCUACAGCGAGAAACAGGGCACCAAUGAAAAAUUUACCCUUCUUCUCAAAGAAAAACCACCCUGCUGAAAUGUCCAAACCAACAUGAAACGCAUAACAAUUUUCCACAAUUUAACAUGUCAAGUUUCACAUGCAUUAUAACCAUAUACCAUUACUCAUUAAUUUCCUAUAUCAUACAUAUUUACAUAUGUAUAUAUGUAUACGUAUACCCAUCAUCAUCAUGCACACCAUCCCAUCAUCAUCAUCACCAGCUCAUGCACACUCCCUACUCGCACAUGGCUGGGUCAUCACCGGGUUAUGCGCACUCCUUACUCGCACAUAACCGGGUCAUUGUCGGCUUAUGCGCACUCCCUACUCGCACAUAGCCAAGUCAAUGUCAUUACACAACAAUAUAUUCAUAUAUAUAUAUAUCAACACAAUUUGGUAGUGCAUGAAUUAAUAAUAGUCACAUGUCACAACAUAAACCAUUUCUCAAGAGCUUGUUCCUAAAGCACUCAUUUUUAAGAAAAGUUGUAUAAAAUCAUUCAAACACUUUGUACAAAACAGUUACAUUCUUAAAAUAGUUUUGAUAGGCAGUCCACUCACCGAUUUAUUGUUGAGCCUUUAGCUUACUCUAAUUCCCUUAAUGAUCCAAUUGGAAGGAUAGGACUUCAUUAGAACCUAGGAUCACAUUAGCAUAAGUAAUAGGUUAAUUCACACACUAUGAACCUUAAAAGCUAUCUCUUAGCUAGCUUUCAAUUGCCACAUUAAAUGGCUAUCUAUGUUCACUAUCUUAAUCACUAAAAAGUAAUAAACAUACUCAACAAUAAAACAGCUCACACUCCCAAUUACUAGCCAUUAUUCAUAGCUAAAAACCAAACUUAAUUCAUCACUUACCCUAGGGUUCCUUUGUAGUUGAAUUCUUUUCCAAUAGCUUCCACACAAAUGGGGUAAUUCUCUCUUUCUCUCUCUAGAAUGCCCAACUAGUGAGAGAAAGUAUGGAAAUAAGAUUUAUCAAGGGUUUUGAAGUGAGAGAGUGAAAGAAUACAAGAGUUCUAGUUAAAAGGGCUCAAAAGUAUGAAAACUAGAGCUAGAGAGAGAAAAUCAUGCAAGCUCCAUAUCAAGCUUCCAUGGAGGUUGGAAGCAACGUGAAAGAGAAGAAGAAGAAGAAGACAAGCUG
rnacentral:lncRNA from 1 species